rnacentral:rRNA from 1 species
GCUGACGCAGCGACGCCGCGUGGGUGAUGAAGCUCUUCGGAGUGUAAAGCUCUGUCAGAGGGGACGAAACGCGAUAGUGAGAAUAUCACUUUCGCCUGACGGUACCCUCAGAGGAAGCCCCGGCUAACUACGUGCCAGCAGCAGCGGUAAAUCGUAGGGGGCGAGCGUUGUCCGGAAUUAUUGGGCGUAAAGGGCGUGUAGGUGGGCCUGUAAGUCAAGUGUGAAAUCCCUCGGCUUAACCGAGGAUCUGCGCUUGAAACUACUGGUCUUGAGUACAGGAAGGGAAAGUGGAAUUCUGCGUGUAGCGGUGAAAUGUGUAGAUAUGCAGAAGAACACCGGUGGCGAAGGCGGCUUUCUGGCCUGAUACUGACACUGAAACGCGAAAGCUAGGGGAGCGAACAGGAUUAGAUACCCUGGUAGUCCUAGCCGUAAACGAUGGGCACUAGGUGUUGGAGGUAUUGACCCCUUCAGUGCCGAAGCUAACGCAUUAAGUGCCCCGCCUGGGGAGUACGAUCGCAAGGUUGAAACUCAAAGGAAUUGACGGGGGCCCGCACAAGCGGUGGAGCAUGCGGUUCAAUUCGAUGCAACGCGAAGAACCUUACCGGGGUUUGACAUGUACCUGAAAGGCGUAGAGAUACGC